AGGACACAGCGGCAUCUGUCAUGUUGAAAGCAAAAAAGAAGAGGCAGGCAAAUGUGAGACAGGACUGGGUUGACAGCCGGCUUUGAUUCCUGUACUCUGGGGGUUAGGGGGAGUGAUCAGCUUUUAUUAACAAGGCAGAGAAUAAAUGGUAAGAAUUGUUUACACAAACUUGAGACAGGAGAUUCUUGACCUAAGCUUUACGAUGCAGUGUCCGGAUUGAAGCAAGUGGGCAUCUGGUUUCCUGCCUGCUGUUUGAGAUGUGAGCUCUCAGGUGUGUAUGCUGCCUUGUCUUCGCCCCAGCGUCAUGGACUCUAACCCUCUGAAACUGAGAAAAAUGGGCCAGAGUCAGUGGGAUCUGCAGUCCGCUAUCAUGCCGGAAGAUGAGGCCAGCAGGAAGCUAACGAAGCAAUGUUACUCCAGGGGAAUCACAAGGUAUCUCAAAUGGGUCAUAGACCAAGUAUAUAGUAUCCUUGGGAUUGAUAAUUCCAGUCUCUUCAGGGGGAAAAGCCAUGUUCUCAGGAAGAAAAACCUUGACCCUUCUAAAGGGGUCAGCUUCAGCCUCAGUUCCAGAC
ensembl:lncRNA